rnacentral:snRNA from 1 species
UUAACCAUGGUUAAGUUAACAUUA